CUCUCUGAAAGCAGGGUCGGCUGAGGUCACUGUUGUAUCCCCAGCUGCUAGAACAGUGCCAGGCUCAUAGUAGGUGCUUAAUGAAUAGUUGUUGAGUUGUUAUUAUUCUGAACACAUAACAGAGUUUAUUUAAGGUUUUGAUAAUUAACUGCACAAACAGGAAAACUCUGGCGCUUCUAAAGGGAACUCCACCCAAGCCCAGCUCCAGCAGGAAAUACCAAAAACUGCCCCUCUGUAGUUUGGGUCAUGGCACUCUUGCAUGAAGGAAAGGAGUAACAACUAAACCGGAGAUUUUUACUUCAGUGAUGGUUGAAGCGGCACAUUCCACAAGAUGACCCUGGCCCGCCAUGCCCCCAUUCUGUGCCUAUAAAAACCCCCGAAACCCUAGUGGGUAGAGACACAAGCAGCUGGACGUCAAGAGGAGCACACGGGCAGAACAUACUGGCAGGCUCCAGCAGACCCUGGCAGGCCAUCCACCGGUGGAACAAGGAAGCCAGAGGAAUUUGGCCGGGGUGGUUGGAGUUGAGUCUGGCUACUGAGCAACAGACUCCAGGGAAAACCACCUUCCCACUCUGUCCCCCUUCUGGCUCCCCAUCCAUCUGCUGAGAGCUACUUCCACCAUUCAAUAAAACCCUGCACUCAUUCUCCAUGUAUUUUUGUAUGUAGGAUAAAAUUCAAAACACUUAACUGUGCCCACAUGUGAUGCAAUUUUUCCGAUACACUAAGGCAAGAACCCCAAGACGAAAAGCCCUCUGUCCUUGCAAUAAGGCAGAGUGUCUAAUUGAGCUGAUUAACACAAGCCGCCU
rnacentral:lncRNA from 1 species